GCCUGGGUGGCUCAGCUGUUUCAGCAUCUGACUUCGGCUCAGGUCACGAUCUCACAGUUUGUGGGUUCAAGCCCCACAUCGGGCU
rnacentral:tRNA from 1 species